GAUGAACGCUGGCGGCGUGCCUAAUACAUGCAAGUCGAGCGAACAGACGAGGAGCUUGCUCCUUUGACGUUAGCGGCGGACGGGUGAGUAACACGUGGGUAACCUACCUAUAAGACUGGGAUAACUUCGGGAAACCGGAGCUAAUACCGGAUAAUAUUUCGAACCGCAUGGUUCGAUAGUGAAAGAUGGCUCUGCUAUCACUUAUAGAUGGACCUGCGCCGUAUUAGCUAGUUGGUAAGGUAACGGCUUACCAAGGCAACGAUACGUAGCCGACCUGAGAGGGUGAUCGGCCACACUGGAACUGAGACACGGUCCAGCCUCCUACGGGAGGCAGCAGUAGGGAAUCUUCCGCAAUGGGCGAGAGCCUGACGGAGCAACGCCGCGUGAGUGAUGAAGGUCUUCGGAUCGUAAAACUCUGUUAUUAGGGAAGAACAAACGUGUAAGUAACUGUGCACGUCUUGACGGUACCUAAUCAGAGAGCCACGGCUAACUACGUG
rnacentral:rRNA from 1 species